ACAUGCCUACAACAUAGCGUUAAUGCACCAGAUCCCAUUAGAACUUUGUUGUUAAGCACGCUCAGGCUAGAGUAGUACUAGGAUGGGUGACUGCCUGGGAAGUCCUAGUGUUUUACAUGCC
rnacentral:rRNA from 1 species